rnacentral:rRNA from 1 species
AGUGAACGCUGGCGGUAGGCCUAACACAUGCAAGUCGAACGGCAGCACAGUAAGAGCUUGCUCUUACGGGUGGCGAGUGGCGGACGGGUGAGGAAUACAUCGGAAUCUACUUUUUCGUGGGGGAUAACGUAGGGAAACUUACGCUAAUACCGCAUACGACCUACGGGUGAAAGCAGGGGAUCUUCGGACCUUGCGCGAUUGAAUGAGCCGAUGUCGGAUUAGCUGGUUGGCGGGGUAAAGGCCCACCAAGGCGACGAUCCGUAGCUGGUCUGAGAGGAUGAUCAGCCACACUGGAACUGAGACACGGUCCAGACUCCUACGGGAGGCAGCAGUGGGGAAUAUUGGACAAAGGGCGCAAGCCUGAUCCAGCCAUACCGCGUGGGUGAAGAAGGCCUUCGGGUUGUAAAGCCCUUUUGUUGGGAAAGAAAAGCAGCAGGUUAAUACCCCGCUGUUCUGACGGUACCCAAAGAAUAAGCACCGGCUAACUUCGU